GCAUUGGUGGUUCAGCGGUAGGAUUCUCACCUUCUGUGUGGGAGACUCUGGUUUGACUCCUUAUCAGUGCC
rnacentral:tRNA from 1 species